rnacentral:rRNA from 1 species
AUGAUUCAAUGUUUGGAUCACUCAGCUUCACGGACAUUUUACGAACAGGAACUACGGAAACUUGUGAGGAUAGUCCAAGAGGUCCAAAAAAGCAUGGGAAAUAAAGAUAGCGGAGAGGGAUCUGAUAAAAAGCUUUCCAGGGCGAAGAAACCACUCAUCAUGUUCCUUCGCUCCCUUGCAAAGAAGACACUUGAAUAG